UACAGAGGUGGCAAGCGUUGUUCGGAAUUACUGGGCGUAAAGGGCGCGUAGGCGGUCCCGUCAGUCCCUUGUGAAAUCCCCCGGCUCAACUGGGGAACUGCAAGGGAUACAGCGGGGCUUGAGUUCGGGAGAGGGAAGCGGAAUUCCGGGUGUAGCGGUGAAAUGCGUAGAUAUCCGGAGGAACACCGGUGGCGGAAGGC
rnacentral:rRNA from 1 species